rnacentral:rRNA from 1 species
GAUGAACGCUGGCGGCGUGCCUAAUACAUGCAAGUCGAGCGAACGGACGAGAAGCUUGCUUCUCUGAUGUUAGCGGCGGACGGGUGAGUAACACGUGGAUAACCUACCUAUAAGACUGGGUUAACUUCGGGAAACCGGGGCUAAUACCGGAUAAUAUUUUGAACCGCAUGGUUCAAAAGUGAAAGACGGUCUUGCUGUAACUUAUAGAUGGAUCCGCGCUGCAUUAGCUAGUUGGUAAGGUAACGGCUUACCAAGGCAACGAUGCAUAGCCGACCUGAGAGGGUGAUCGGCCACACUGGAACUGAGACACGGUCCAGACUCCUACGGGAGGCAGCAGUAGGGAAUCUUCCGCAAUGGGCGAAAGCCUGACGGAGCAACGCCGCGUGAGUGAUGAAGGUCUUCGGAUCGUAAAACUCUGUUAUUAGGGAAGAACAUAUGUGUAAGUAACUGUGCACAUCUUGACGGUACCUAAUCAGAAAGCCACGGCUAACUACGUG